GGAUGCGAUCGUACCAGCACUAAAGCACCGGAUCCCAUCAGAAAUCCGAAGUUAAGCGUGCUUGGGCGAGAGUAGUACUAGGAUGGGUGACCUCCUCGUGUUGCAUUCC
rnacentral:rRNA from 1 species